rnacentral:rRNA from 1 species
AUUGAACGCUGGCGGCAUGCCUUACACAUGCAAGUCGAACGGCAGCGCGGACUUCGGUCUGGCGGCGAGUGGCGAACGGGUGAGUAAUACAUCGGAACGUACCCUGUUGUGGGGGAUAACUAGUCGAAAGAUUAGCUAAUACCGCAUACGACCUGAGGGUGAAAGUGGGGGACCGCAAGGCCUCACGCAGCAGGAGCGGCCGAUGUCGGAUUAGCUAGUUGGUGGGGUAAAGGCCCACCAAGGCGACGAUCAGUAGCUGGUCUGACAGGACGAUCAGCCACGCUGGGACUGGGACACGGCCCAGACUCCUACGGGAGGCAGCAGUGGGGAAUUUUGGACAAUGGGGGCAACCCUGAUCCAGCAAUGCCGCGUGUGUGAAGAAGGCCUUCGGGUUGUAAAGCACUUUUGUCCGGAAAGAAAUCGCGCUGGUUAAUACCUGGCGUGGAUGACGGUACCGGAAGAAUAAGCACCGGCUAACUACGUGCCAGCCGCCGCAGUAAAAC